rnacentral:misc_RNA from 1 species
AUGCCUGUCCGAGCGUCAUGAGACCAAUCAAGCUCUGCUUGGCAUUAGGCCAUGCCAGCGAUGGCAGGCUCCAAAUCUAGUGGCGGUGCCGCGGGCUCUGAACGUAGUAACAUCUCCCGUUACGGACGUCCGCGGUAGGCGACCAGGAAUCUCAACUCUGUCUUGACCUCGGAUCAGGUAGGGAUACCCGCUGAACUUAA